rnacentral:rRNA from 1 species
GAUGAACGCUGGCGGCGUGCCUAAUACAUGCAAGUCGAGCGAACGGACGAGAAGCUUGCUUCUCUGAUGUUAGCGGCGGACAGGUGAGUAACACGUGGAUAGCCUACCUAUAAGACUGGGAUAACUUCGGGAUACCGGAGCUAAUACCGGAUAAUAUUUUGAACCGCAUGGUUCAAAAGUGAAAGACGGUCUUGCUGUCACUUAUAGAUGGAUCCGCGCUGCAUUAGCUAGUUGGUAAGGUAACGGCUUACCAAGGCAACGAUGCAUAGCCGACCUGAGAGGGUGAUCGGCCACACUGGAACUGAGACACGGUCCAGACUCCUACGGGAGGCAGCAGUAGGGAAUCUUCCGCAAUGGGCGAAAGCCUGACGGAGCAACGCCGCGUGAGUGAUGAAGGUCUUCGGAUCGUAAAACUCUGUUAUUAGGGAAGAACAUAUGUGUAAGUAACUGUGCACAUCUUGACGGUACCUAAUCAGAAAGCCACGGCUAACUACGUG